AAUCAGGUUAACGAAACUUGAAUCAAUUAAUUAGCAGACUAAGACUCGUAUGAUCGUUCCAUUUCAGUUACUUCUAAUAGGGCAGGAGAUUCCAACUAUAUACUUUCCCUUGUCAACAAUUAAAGAUUGUUGAAAGUUAGAACCCUUCAAAGAUUAUGAGUUGUGCAGAGUUGCAAUGCUUUGACUGAAGAAUUAAAUUAUGUUCCACCAC
rnacentral:lncRNA from 1 species